AUAAAACCAUGGGAUCACUACCCCGAAUGAGAUAUAGGAUAAUUGGAUAAAGUCAUGGGAUUACCAUCCCGUACAAGAUAUAGAUUCUAAAACCAAAGCUCUGAAUAAACUUAUAUUAAUACAUAUUGUGAGUCGGGUAACCAUGCUGAUACGACAACGAGACCUCCUUGACGUUAGUCAGACGUCGGACGAUAUCUAGAAUUUGUCACCCCAGGCAUGCCCGCCUAACUGUAGCUAGCAAUUAAGGUGUGGGAUUGUCAGUCCCGAAUAGAUCUAUUCACAAAUUCCUCGCUCUCCCUCCAGGAGACUCUGGUUACACUUCCGGGGAGGAUUUACUGAUCAUCCAUAAAGGGUAGUGACUACUCACAAACUAGUACUAAACUAUUCACAGGAUUCUCAUACGAUAUCAAACAUACAAAGAUUAUGAAACAUAAUACAGUGAAAAUAGAUACAUACAAUGAAACUAUCUGGCAAUACAUUCAAAUGAUACGGAGAUAAACUGAAUCAGACAUAGUUUAUCUAAUAACUUUAUAUAGAUAUCAGUACAUGAUAAAACGAACACUAAAGAAUUCCCAAAUUAUUCCCAUAAUAAUUUGAUUAGUUUGGUUAUUUUCUUAACUAAAAUCCAUUUAGUUGUAAUUGAUAAAUCAUUCCUUAUGCUCAGCAUAAUACAUAAGGAGUAAAAGUGUUUAUAAGUUUGCCAGAUAUUAUUUGAAACAUAUCAAUGUUAUGAUUUGAAAACAGUUAUAGUUUGCUUGUAUUCCCCCCCCUGAAAACAUUGAAAAGCACAAAAAAGGCGUAGGGGUAUGAACUCACCGAACGAGAAACGUGACGAUUUCGGAUGCUAAACGUUGGUUCGGGGCUUGCAAACGCACGAGGUUCCUAAGUAUAAUGUAAAGAUACACAUUUGUAUCUAAUUAGGACUUAGUUUAUUUAUUUGUUAGGGACAAUUACUUCUAAUCGCGAAAACACCCUGAUACAAGUGUUUGGAGGGACCCGGGUGGCAUUUAGGGACACAUUUAGCUAGGAUAUUGAAUUGGGACUUCAAGAGUAAACUCCUUACGGAGUUUACAGCCCUAAUGACCCCCUCCCCAUGAGUUUACGUCCGUAAACUCAUGGUGGGGUAGUUUAUGGUGCAAAAUGGCUUCAAACACUUAGGGAAUAAUUUCUAGGUUUGGUUUAAGGGCUUGGAAUAAUUUUUAAACAACAAAUGACAUACUUAAGGGAGUUUACGGCCUAGCAUAGGACUCAUGGCUGUAAACUCCUAUAAACCCAUGAAAAAUAGUGUUUUUAAUUCCAAACAAAUCACAUGUGAUUGCUAAAAUUAUUUCAAGGCCUUACAUGAAUUUUUAUGGGACAUUUGGGGUGUUUUUGGAGUUUACGGCCUAUGAGACCCCCCUCAUGGCCGUAAACUCUCCUAGAGAGGGAUUCAUUAUGUUUUAAGGCCAAAAACUUGUUUGUAAACACUUCUAAAAAUUAUUCUAAGGCUUUAGGGGUGUUAAAGUGGCUUUCUAACACCUUAAAUUGAGUUUACACCCAAGGUUGAGGAGUUUACGGCCCAAGCACAUGCCUUGGCCGUAAACUCAUAUAAAUCCCCCAAAAUUUAUGUUUAAAGUGUUCCAAGGCUAAAGCAAUUAUUCUAGAAGUCAUAUCCAUGUCUUGUUGAGGUUUAGGAAGGGUUUAAGGGCUUAAAAACCCUAUAAUUAUGAGUUUACGGCCUAAAAACCAUCUUUGGCCAUAAACUCAUAUACAAGUCUCCAAAGUUUAGUUUAAGGCAUUCUAGGUCCAUUCCAUAAAGCCAUCUAGCCAUAUCUAAGGUCCAAUUGUGUUUUGGAAGGGUUUUUGUGCUCCAAAACCCAUUUCAUAUGAGUUCACGGCCUAGGACUAUUCCAGGGCCGUAAACUCAUGAAUGUGGUCCUAUUCCAUGUUUUGAACUCGAAUUUGAAGGCUAGGGAGGUUACAUAUCAAGUUAGGGAAGGUACCUCAAAGAUUUGGAGCCUAAAAUUGAUGAUUUGGACCCUUAAACUUGGAUUUAGGAGAGAGGUUAGAGAGAGAGUAGAGAGAGGAAGAAAAAGCUUCAAAUGAAUGUUUAAACACAUUUAUAUAGGUCCUAAAACUUGGACACUAUGGAAUUCUACCCGAUACCGGCCUUAAACGGGGCUUUAGGUCGCACUCGAUUAAGUUUCCGUCACCCGGCGGGGACAUUUCUAACUUUUUGAAAUAAACGUUUUUGGGCUAGAUUCAUGAGUUCCUAAAGGAUUUGGACACUCAUUGGAUUUAUAAUAAACAUAUAAAUUUAAAUAAUUCAACCCAAAACGAAAACGGAACGAUUGACAAACGGCGAAUCUUUACGGGUAGAACGGGUUAUCGGUGAUGAACAACUUCGGGUUGUUACAUUAUCCCCCCGUUAAAGGGAAUUUCGUCCCGAAAUUCAAAGAAUAAGAUAUAGAUCAUGAAUUUUGGUAUGAAACACGAAUGGAUUUGUUGCCUCGGAUCUUCACUUUCUUCAAGUGGAAUCAGGUCUCUACUGGGCGUUCUAGCGAAUUCUCAUUAUCGGAACAUGUCUUUGUUUUGCACAUUGACUCUCUCUCUCAAUCUACGAUAUUAAUCGGUUCUCUGAUGAAAGUUCCAACCCUGGACGACUUCGAUUUACUCAAAGGAAGAACUAGGGUUUCGUUGGGUAGAUGCUUCUAAGGAUUCGAGACAUGAUGUACUGGAUAGAUGUUAACAAGCUCUAAGGGCAUCCGAAAUCUGAAGAUUGCAGAAUCGAUUUCUAUGAAGAUCUCGAAUGGUCUGAUGUGGGACUAAACUAGACGUUCGAAAGAAAUUCUCGGGAAUCCUUCGGGAAAGACAUUUAGAGGAAGGAGCUGCUAACUUCCCGUUUCUCAUUGAUUACAGAAACGUGGGAUGCGUGGUGAUUCAUAUCGGGAAAAACUUUUGAGUUCUAAGGCAUGGAAUGAUACGAAGGUUUGAUGCCGAAGAUUACGAGAACCGGGUCGAGGAAAAGAUCUAGACGAGCGACCCUUUCGAAACCGAGGAUAACAACAUGAAUGAGACUCAGUCAUUUCAUGGUAAACAUAGCAUCAAAGUAUUUUCUUGGAAAGUUUUCCCCCUUUUAAGUCGAAUGGAAAAGAACAGUCCUCCGGACUAAGGAUUCAACCUAUAGGUACGAAGUUAGUGUCCUCUAUCUCACUAGUUAGUCAUCUCGACGGUACACAUUUCGAUUACAUACGAAGGAUUGAGUUUAGAAAAUGUUCGAAUAGAUAGAUGACAUGUUUCCCUUUUUGUACUAGAAUCGAAAAGAGUUGCAGGUAUAAGGAUUAUUAAAGAGAAGUAUACCUGCGGUGACAGAGGGAUCAACGGUUGAAGCUGCUUUGGGGCAAUUCCUUUUGAAGUGCCUUGCCUCGCCACAAUUGUAGCAGGAUGGACUGAUUCCCGCUCCGGAUGAUUGGUUCGUUGAUUUUGCUGGUUUUCUGCAGGUUCGAGCAAGAUGGCCCUUCUUGCCAUAGUUAUCACAGAUCCUUUUGCGACAAGGACCAGGAAUGCGGUGAUGGUAGCUGCACUUAUCACAUCAAGGAAGGGUACCAGUGUAUCCACUGGUUGGAGUUUGGGCUGUGGAACCGACAGCCGAAAUUCCAAUAGGGGCAGUAGCAGCAUGGACUGCCAUCGUUUGCUGUUUCUUAGAAGACCCUCGCGUACUCUGGGCCUUCCGCUUGUUCCAGAAUUUCUUUUUGCUUUCACCUCCACUUGUGACUGGCUCAGGGGUGGUAGCCUCCUCAUCAGAGUUGUCUUCAUGAUCGAUCAAGAUUUUCGUAAGACAUUUUGCGCUGUCAUAUGUGUAUGGCCUUGCAGCUAAGACAUUACCUUUGGUUGGCUGGGUCAACCCCCAGAUGAACCUCUCAAUCUUUUUACUCUCCGGGGUAACCCUUCCCGGACAGAGUAACGCCAAAUCAUCGAAUCUUGAAGUAUAAGCGACUAUGUCGGAACCCUUCAUCUUAAGGUUCCAGAGUUCGUGUUCUAGCUUCUGGAGUUCGCCCCGAGGGCAAUAUUCUGCGAGCAGAAGCUCCUUCAUAGCUUCCCAACCCAUAGCAUUCACUACAGGUAAAGUUAAAGAUUUGACUCGGCCAUUCCACCAAGUCAAGGCUUUGUCUAGGAAGGUGCAGGCGGUGAAUUUAACUUUGUCAGAUUCCGUGCAGGCGCAUAUUUCAAAGAUUGAUUCGAUUUUCUCGAACCAUCGGGUAAGGGAAAUGACACCUCUAGUGCCAUCAAAGGAUGUGGGCUUCACGUUCAUGAAGUCUUUAUAGGAACCCCUUUUUGGUGUCCCUGGCUAUCUUCUGGAUUUUGGGGCUGGGGACCACCUCCUGAAUUACCAGGGUUCAUUUGCGACAUGGCUGCUACCAUUGCAGCAGUCAGAACUGUCUGAAGUGAUGCAAGAUCAAGUUGAGGAGGAGGUGGUGGCGGAGGAGGAUUGUUGUUGUUCUUUGAGCUGGGUCUCUUUCUUGGAGGCAUCUUGAUCUAAAAAGAUCAGGAAAGAGAGGAUCAUAAGUCCUCUGAAUUGAAUCAAGAGAUAUGGAACAGGGGAUAUCUCAUCAAGACAGAUAUAACACUAUAUUAAGCGAUAAAGCAGGAAAGAGUUAUCAAGACAGAACAUUUUAUCGCUAGAGGAAUGAUCAAGGAACAACGCGUAUACGAGGAUUUUCUACAAAGGAUUGACUCGAGAAAUACUCCCAUAGUAUUUCAUGAUUCACUGCAACGACGACUCGUUGUUUGGGGUAUUGGGUAAGUUUUAGGCAUGCUGCAUACCACAGUCACUCCCAAGCACAUGUUGGCCGUGUCUCGAAUGAAUAUAGUUGGCCAGGCUAUAUUGAUCCUAGACACGACUACAUAACUGCCCAGGUUUAACCGCAGCGUACAACACCCAUUCACUUAUGUUUUGUUCUACUGGUAGUUACGAAUCUCGAUGUUUCGGUAUACUUGUAUACUUUCGAAAAUACUUAUAUUUUGAAGGAUACUUUUAGUUCAGAGCACUUAGGCCCUUUAAUGUUUAUAGUUUUAUACCAUGUAAGGUUUGGUAUACUCCGUUCACUAUAAACAAGGGCUCUGAUACCAAUCUGUCACACCCCGAAAACCAAAGGCGGAAACAUUUCCGGGGUUGACUCCACGUUGAGUAUCAAAUCCAAUGUACAUAGUAAUCACAGUAAACAACCAUUACAUUACAUAUAUUUGAAAGUUUACAUUUGUUUCAAAAGUAAAUUGUACAAGUGUUAUACAUAUAUCAUAUAAACAAAAGUUGAUACAAGUCUUCCGAGCACUCCGUCUUCACCAAAAGAUAUUGCCGGGUACCUGUCUAUCUUGGACCUGAGAAUACAAGCAGUUUGAAAAUCAGCAUAAAGCUGGUGAGUUCAUAAGCGGUUUUGUUUUAUGAAACUGUAUCGGUUUCCUUUAGUUUUCCGAAAAGGUUUGUUAUCCAAGAAAAUCCCAUAUUUUCUUAUGUAAAGUUAGUUUGGUUAUCUUUCGUUACAGUUCAGUUACGCGUUAUAUGUUAACCCCAGGAAAAUCCCAUAUUUUCCUAAAUGCAAGAUUGAUUGAAUAACACAGAGUAUAGUUUAAUACACAAAACUAUAUAUUGAAAAUCAUGGGAUUACUAUCCCGAAUUAGAUAUGAAAUACUAUAAUAUACACGAACUGUAGAUAGAAAGUAGUUUGAAAACCUUGGGACUAACAUCCCGAACUAGUUACAAGAUAGUUUGAUAUACUUGAAAAUAUAGAUUGAAAACCAUGGGACUACUAUCCCGAACUAGAUAUAAGAUUGUUUGAUAAAACCAUGGGAUCACUAUCCCGAACUAGAUAUAAUAUAGAUUGAUAAAGCCAUGGGAUUAUUAUCCCGUACGAGAUAUAGUUUCAAAACCAUGGGAUUACCAUCCCGUACAAGAUAUAGAUUGAAAUCAUGGGACUAUCAUCCCGUAUUAGAUACAAGUUCGAUAGACUGAAAACCAUGGGACUACCAUCCCGGACUAGAUACAAAAUAGUUUGAUAAAACCAUGGGAUCACUAUCCCGAACUAGAUAUAGAUUCUAAAACCAAAGCUGUGAAUAAACUUAUAUUAAUACAUAUUGUGAGUCGGGUAACCAUGCUGAUACGACAACGAGACCUCCUUGACGUUAGUCAGACGUCGGACGAUAUCCAGAAUUUGUCACCCCAGGCGUGCCCGCCUAACUGUAGCUAGCAGUUAAGGUGUGGGAUUGUCAGUCCCGAAUAGAUCUAUUCACAAAUUCCUCGCUCUCCCUCCAGGAGACUCUGGUUACACUUCCGGGGAGGAUUUACUGAUCAUCCAUAAAGCGUAGUGACUACUCACAAACUAGUACUAAACUAUUCACAGGAUUCUCAUAUGAUAUCAAACAUACGAAGAUUAUGAAACAUAAUAUAGUGAAAAUGGAUACAUACAAUGAAACUAUCUGGCAAUACAUUCAAAUGAUGCGGAGAUAAACUGAAUCAGACAUAGUUUAUCUAAUAACUUUAUAUAGAUAUUAGUACAUGAUAAAACGAACACUAAAGAAUUCCCAAAUGAUUCCCAUAAUAAUUUGAUUAGUUUGGUUAUUUUCUUAACUUAAAUCCAUUUAGUUGUAAUUGAUAAAUCAUUCCUUAUGCUCAGCGUAAUACAUAAGGAGUAAAAGUGUUUAUAAGUUUGCCAGAUAUUAUUUGAAACAUAUCAAUGUUAUGAUUUGAAAACCGUUAUAG
rnacentral:lncRNA from 1 species